GAUGUUCUUGUUGAAUUCUAUGCACCAUGGUGUGGCCACUGCAAGCAUCUUGCUCCUAUAUAUGAGAAGUUAGCCAAUGCAUACAAAUUGGAAGAUGAUGUUGUCAUGGCUAACUUGGAUGCUGAUAAAUACAAGGAUUUAGCAUAAAAGUAAG